rnacentral:rRNA from 1 species
AACGAACGCUGGCGGCGUGGAUAAGACAUGCAAGUUGAACGCUAAUUUCGGUGUAGCAAUACAUCGGAGUUGGAGUAGCGCAAGGGUGCGUAACACGUGGGUAAUUUGCCGUGAAGUUGGGGAUAACUCGCUGAAAGGCGAGCUAAUACCGAAUGUGAAGUUUGGGUGGCAUCACCUGACCUUUAAAGCUGGGGAUCGUAAGACCUGGCGCUUUAUGAUAAGCCCGCGGCCUAUCAGCUAGUUGGUGAGGUAACGGCUCACCAAGGCUAAGACGGGUAGCUGGUCUGAGAGGACGACCAGCCACACUGGAACUGAGACACGGUCCAGACACCUACGGGUGGCAGCAGUCGAGAAUUUUCUCAAUGGGCGCAAGCCUGAAGGAGCGACGCCGC